GACGAACGCUGGCGGCGUGCUUAACACAUGCAAGUCGAACGGAAAGGCCCUGCUUGCAGGGUACUCGAGUGGCGAACGGGUGAGUAACACGUGGGUGAUCUGCCCUGCACUUCGGGAUAAGCUUGGGAAACUGGGUCUAAUACCGGAUAGGAGCCAUCUUUAGUGUGGUGGUUGGAAAGUUUUUUCGGUGUAGGAUGAGCUCGCGGCCUAUCAGCUUGUUGGUGGGGUAAUGGCCUACCAAGGCGGCGACGGGUAGCCGGCCUGAGAGGGUGUACGGCCACAUUGGGACUGAGGUACGGCCCAGACUCCUGCGGGAGGCAGCAGUGGGGAAUAUUGCACAAUGGGCGCAAGCCUGAUGCAGCGACGCCGCGUGGGGGAUGAAGGCCUUCGGGUUGUAAACUCCUUUCGCUAGGGACGAAGCUUUGUUGUGACGGUACCUAGAUAAGAAGCACCGGCUAACUACGUG
rnacentral:rRNA from 1 species